rnacentral:rRNA from 1 species
CCUACGGGUGGCUGCAGUCGAGAAUCAUUCACAAUGGGGGAAACCCUGAUGGUGCGACGCCGCGUGGGGGAAUGAAGGUCUUCGGAUUGUAAACCCUUGUCAUGUGGGAGCAAAUUAAAAAGAUAGUACCACAAGAGGAAGAGACGGCUAACCCUGUGCCAGCAGCCGAGGUAAUACAGAGGGGUCAAGCGUUGAUCGGAAUCACUGGGGGUAAAGCGUGCGGAGGCUGUUUCGUAAGUCGCGUGUGAAAGGCGCGGGCUCAACCCGCGGACGGCCCAUGAUACUGGGAGACGAGAGGUAUGGAGGGGGAACCAGAAUUCCCGGUGUAGCAGUGAAAUGCGUAGAGAUCGGGAGGAACACUCGUGGCGAAGGCGGGUUCCUGGACAUUAACUGACGCUGAGGUACGAAGGCCAGGGGAGCGAAAGGGAUUAGAUACCCUAGUAGUC